CUGAAGUUCACAUAUGUGCUGGCUGGCUGGGAGGGGUCAACGCAUGAUGCUAACAUUCUUAGUGACAGUAUGAGUCGACCUGAUGGGAUCAACAUCCCCGACGACAAGUUCUACCUUGGAGAUGCUGGCUAUGCAUGUCGGCCAGGUAUUCUUUCACCUUUCAGGAAAACCAGGUACCAUCUCAACGAGUUCUCUGGUAGGAACUAUCCUAGGACUGCACAGGAGCUGUUUAAUCUCAGACACUCCAGCCUUAGAGUAACUGUUGGGAGGGCAUUUGGAGCUCUGAAGAAUAGGUUUAAGAUCCUAGAUCAGAAGCCAUUCCACCCAUACUCCACUCAGGUUAAGCUUGUUAUCGCUUGUUGCAUUCUGCAUAACUGGAUCCUCCAGUGA
rnacentral:rRNA from 1 species